rnacentral:rRNA from 1 species
GACGAACGCUGGCUGCGUGCUUAACACAUGCAAGUCGAACGAUGAAGCCCAGCUUGCUGGGUGGAUUAGUGGCGAACGGGUGAGUAACACGUGAGUAACCUGCCCUUGACUCUGGGAUAAGCGCUGGAAACGGCGUCUAAUACCGGAUACGGCCUGCCCCGGCAUCGGGUGCGGGUGGAAAGUUUUUCGGUCAAGGAUGGACUCGCGGCCUAUCAGCUAGUUGGUGAGGUAAUGGCUCACCAAGGCGACGACGGGUAGCCGGCCUGAGAGGGUGACCGGCCACACUGGGACUGAGACACGGCCCAGACUCCUACGGGAGGCAGCAGUGGGGAAUAUUGCACAAUGGGCGAAAGCCUGAUGCAGCAACGCCGCGUGGGGGAUGACGGCCUUCGGGUUGUAAACCUCUUUUAGUAGGGAAGAAGGGCUUCGGCUUGACGGUACCUGCAGAAAAAGCACCGGCUAACUACGUGCCAGCAGCCGCGGUAAUACGUAGGGUGCAAGCGUUGUCCGGAAUUAUUGGGCGUAAAGAGCUCGUAGGCGGUUUGUCGCGUCUGCUGUGAAAACCCGAGGCUCAACCUCGGGCCUGCAGUGGGUACGGGCAGACUAGAGUGCGGUAGGGGAGAAUGGAAUUCCUGGUGUAGCGGUGGAAUGCGCAGAUAUCAGGAGGAACACCGAUGGCGAAGGCAGUUCUCUGGGCCGUUACUGACGCUGAGGAGCGAAAGCGUGGGGAGCGAACAGGAUUAGAUACCCUGGUAGUCCACGCCGUAAACGUUGGGAACUAGAUGUGGGGACCUUUCCACGGUCUCCGUGUCGCAGCUAACGCAUUAAGUUCCCCGCCUGGGGAGUACGGCCGCAAGGCUAAAACUCAAAGGAAUUGACGGGGGCCCGCACAAGCGGCGGAGCAUGCGGAUUAAUUCGAUGCAACGCGAAGAACCUUACCAAGGCUUGACAUAUACCGGAAACUUCCAGAAAUGGUUGCCCCGCAAGGUCGGUAUACAGGUGGUGCAUGGUUGUCGUCAGCUCGUGUCGUGAGAUGUUGGGUUAAGUCCCGCAACGAGCGCAACCCUCGUUCUAUGUUGCCAGCACGUCAUGGUGGGAACUCAUAGGAGACUGCCGGGGUCAACUCGGAGGAAGGUGGGGAUGACGUCAAAUCAUCAUGCCCCUUAUGUCUUGGGCUUCACGCAUGCUACAAUGGCCGGUACAAAGGGCUGCGAUACCGUAAGGUGGAGCGAAUCCCAAAAAGCCGGUCUCAGUUCGGAUUGAGGUCUGCAACUCGACCUCAUGAAGUCGGAGUCGCUAGUAAUCGCAGAUCAGCAACGCUGCGGUGAAUACGUUCCCGGGCCU